AAUCAACGCUGGCGGCGUGCCUAACACAUGCAAGUCGAACGCGAAAGCCCUUUCGGGGGUAAGUAGAGUGGCGUCCGGGUGAGUAACACGUAGGUAAUCUGCCUUCGGGUGGGGAAUAACCAGUCGAAAGAUUGGCUAAUACCGCAUAAUGCAGCGGCACCUAAUGGUGAUUAGUUGUUAAANCGGGGGGAUCGUAAGACCUCGCGCCUGAAGAGGAGCCUGCGGCAGGAUUAGCUAGNGGUGAGGUAAUGGCUCACCAAGGCUUCGAUCUGUAGCUGGUCUGAGAGGACGGCCAG
rnacentral:rRNA from 1 species